GUUCUAUUUGCUGACAACAUGCAGUGAAGAUCAGAUGUAAACGAUUGAUUCACUAAGGAUGCUUUGAAUGUCUUGAAAUUAAGAUUCAAGAACCAAAGAAAGACAGCAAGAAGGUUGUGUGUGUUUUGAUGCUUGAUGAAAUGUCAAUUCACAAACAUGUGAAAUGGGAUGGCCAUAAAGUGUGUGUUUAUGUAAACAUUGGCAUUGAGAUUUUUGAUGACUCAAUGCAGAUGUGAAGCUACAAAUUGUAUAAUCAAUUGGGUUUUAUGUAACUUAAUGAUCAAAUCAUGUCAUGAUCCUAUCAUUUAGUAGAGUUUUGUUUGAAUGCUACUAAUAUUUAUUACAUGUGAUAAAACCUUUGAA